UAAUAAAAGUGUUUUAUGGCACUUUUCAAACAAAUCCAUAUCCACCUUGUGUGCGAUGUUUUUUUUUUUUAAAUAAACACUUAUUUUUUAAUUGCCAAUUUAUCUGAAGAUCAGUAUUAUUAUGAAUUAACUUAAUUCAAAAUA
rnacentral:misc_RNA from 1 species